CGAUGGGAAGCCAGCGGCUGGGAAGACGACGCGGGGGAGGGGGGAAGCGGCGCCCCCUCCCGCCGCGGUGUGACGGACGGCGAAGCCAGCCAAUGAAAGGAAAAAUCAAUGCAAAGCUCCCGUCAGAUUCCACUGAGAGAUUCCCCCUGAAGACACCAUCAGAUUCCAUGGAUGGAUCCCGUGAGGAUACCAACAGAUACUUGGUGAUUCCCACAUGGGGGACCCAAGGCAAACCCAUUUCUCCACUUCUGGUGAACUCCACUGGAGCCUCCAAAAUCAGCAUCUGUGCACAUGCGCUGCUUCACUGCAGAGACCCUGAACCCUGAACCAGAUCAGAUUCCGCAGUCGAUUACGGAAACCGAAGAUCCACAGGCGGCGUUCUCCCUCCCCUACACUUUAUCCCGCCCGCGCAUCUCCUUUCUCGUUACUAUUCAGAGAAACAGAUGAUCAACACGCGGUGCGGCUGCAAAGUCGAAUUCCUAUUGGUCAGAGGCGGCGUGAGCUGCGCCCGCCCGCUCCACCUGGGUGGGGCUUCCCGUUUGACCCUGUAUUGCCUUGAUCUGUACCGCCCCAUCACCGGUCAGUCGUUCUUAAAGGGGCCGAGACCCAUUCAGGCGCGGAGCUGUCUGCUCUCCGCAGAUCUGCUGGAGAAGGGAGCGCCCGGGUCAGUUUCCCGGGCGCCACAGCAGAUAAAGAUCUGGAGGUGGAGGCGCCUGGGGGCGGAGCCUCAGCCAGUGGCAAUCCUUGCACCUGCUAAAAGUCCCGCCCACGGGUUUCGGAUGCAGUUUCUUGUCUCACCGUUAGGGGGCAGGGCUCCCACUUGACUGCGAAUAAUAAAUAAUCAUGAUUAUUUAUCCAAUCAUGAUUGGAGUGAGUUGCGCAUGCUGCUGCCCAAACCCCGAGAGCUAGCACUCAACCAACUGAGCCCAGCUCUUGCCUCAGGACCAUUUUUUAAAUAUUGUUGUUUUAUUUGAGAUAAACUUUCACUCUGUAGCCUCUUGAACGCAGCACAGCAAUCCUCCUGUCUCAGGUUCCCAACUGCUGAAAUAAUUAUGUGUCAUCAUGUUUGGCUUAUGACCACCUAUUAAUAACAUGUUCUGUUUAUUAAUUUUCAUUUUAUUUUAUUUAUUCAAAGUUAUGUCUAGGA